UUUACGGAUCACACUAUGGUGACAUAUCAUUCAAGUUUCUGACCUAUCAGCUUAAGACGGUAGGGUAUUGGCCUACCGUGGCUAUGACGGGUAACGGGGAAUUAGGGUUCGAUUCCGGAGAGGGAGCCUGAGAAACGGCUACCACAUCUAAGGAAGGCAGCAGGCGCGCAAAUUACCCAAUCCUAAUACAGGGAGGUAGUGACAAGAAAUAACAAUACAGAGCCUUACGGUUUUGUAAUUGGAAUGAGUUAAGUAUAAACCCCUUAACAAGUAUCAAUUGGAGGGCAAGUCUGGUGCCAGCAGCCGCGGUAAUUCCAGCUCCAAUAGCGUAUAUUAAAGUUGUUGCAGUUAAAAAGCUCGUAGUUAAUUUUCUGUUAAUUUUUAUAUACAAUGCUACGGUAUUUAUAUAAUAUUAUUUUUAAUUCAUAUUACUUUUUAGUAUAUGAAACUUUA
rnacentral:rRNA from 1 species